UGCCCCGACACAGGCAGCCGACGUUGCGCGGAGCUAAUCCGCACCUGCCCGGCCCCGAUUCCCAGCGCGGGACACAGGCAGAAGCGGAGCGGUCCCGCAACCCCCUCCCCCAUAAGCCAUACGUCAUUUGUCUUAAAUGCUGGCCUCCGCGGGGGGGGCUGUGUUCUCUAUGCGGCCAUUCAGCGCCUAGCACCGAUCCUCAGCGAUCUCCGUGUUCCUGUCUAAAGAGCCAAAGGCAGAGGUGCAAGUAAGCCGAAAUCAAUGCUGCCCCACUGCCUCUCCAUAUUCACCACUGAGCCCAAGAUAUGACCGAUACCUAGAUAUCACAGUGACUGGCUUAUUAGACCUUUAUGAUGGCAGACACUGCACUCAGCAACAACAGAUGCAGAGGAGUCAGAAACUGAAGUAGUGGAUGAAGUACUGGUGCAGCCAUCAUCAUUCAGCACUUGACAAGGGAAAACAAGAG